rnacentral:rRNA from 1 species
UGGCUCAUUAAAUCAGUUAUCGUUUAUUUGAUAGCACCUUACUACUUGGAUAACCGUGGUAAUUCUAGAGCUAAUACAUGCUGAAAAUCCCGACUUCGGAAGGGAUGUAUUUAUUAGAUUAAAAACCAAUGCCCUCCGGGGCUCACUGGUGAUUCAUGAUAACUUCUCGAAUCGCAUGGCCUUGCGCCGGCGAUGGUUCAUUCAAAUUUCUGCCCUAUCAACUUUCGACUGCUGGGUCUUGGCCAGCAAUGGUGACAACGGGUAACGGAGGGUUAGGGCUCGACCCCGGAGAAGGAGCCUGAGAAACGGCUACUACAUCCAAGGAAGGCAGCAGGCGCGCAAAUUACCCAAUCCCGACACGGGGAGGUAGUGACAAUAAAUACUGAUACAGGGCUCUUUUGGGUCUUGUAAUUGGAAUGAGUACAAUUUAAAUCCCUUAACGAGGAACAAUUGGAGGGCAAGUCUGGUGCCAGCAGCCGCGGUAAUUCCAGCUCCAAUAGCGUAUAUUAAAGUUGUUGCAGUUAAAAAGCUCGUAGUUGAACCUUGGGCCUGGCCGGCCGGUCCGCCUCACCGCGUGCACUGGUUCGGCCGGGCCUUUUCCUCUGGCGAGCCCCAUGCCCUUCACUGGGCGUGUGGGGGAACCAGGACUUUUACUUUGAAAAAAUUAGAGUGUUCAAAGCAGGCCUAUGCUCGAAUACAUUAGCAUGGAAUAAUAGAAUAGGACGUGCGGUUCUAUUUUGUUGGUUUCUAGGACCGCCGUAAUGAUUAAUAGGGACAGUCGGGGGCAUCAGUAUUCAAUUGUCAGAGGUGAAAUUCUUGGAUUUAUUGAAGACUAACUACUGCGAAAGCAUUUGCCAAGGAUGUUUUCAUUAAUCAGGAACGAAAGUUAGGGGAUCGAAGACGAUCAGAUACCGUCGUAGUCUUAACCAUAAACUAUGCCGACUAGGGAUCGGACGA